rnacentral:rRNA from 1 species
GAUGAACGCUAGCGGGAGGCCUAACACAUGCGAGCCGAGCGGUAGAGUUUCUUCGGAAACUUGAGAGCGGCGCACGGGUGCGUAACACGUGUGCAACCUACCUUUAUCUGGGGGAUAGCCUUUCGAAAGGAAGAUUAAUACCCCAUAAUAUAAUGAUUGGCAUCAAUUAUUAUUGAAAACUCCGGUGGAUAGAGAUGGGUACGCGCAAGAUUAGAUAGUUGGUGAGGUAACGGCUCACCAAGUCAAUGAUCUUUAGGGGUCCUGAGAGGGAGAUCCCCCACACUGGUACUGAGACACGGACCAGACUCCUACGGGAGGCAGCAGUGAGGAAUAUUGGACAAUGGGUGAGAGCCUGAUCCAGCCAUCCCGCGUGAAGGAUGACGGUCCUAUGGAUUGUAAACUUCUUUGUACAGGGAUAAACCUACCCUCGUGAGGGUAGCUGAAGGUACUGUACGAAUAAGCACCGGCUAACUCCGUG